rnacentral:rRNA from 1 species
UACCAGCACCCCGAGUGGUCGGGACGAUUAUUGGGCCUAAAGCAUCCGUAGCCGGUCCUACAAGUCUUCCGUUAAAUCCACCUGCUUAACAGAAUGGGCUGCGGAAGAUACUAUAGGGCUAGGAGGCGGGAGAGGCAAGCGGUACUCAGUGGGUAGGGGUAAAAUCCUCUGAUCCAUUGAAGACCACCAGUGGCGAAGGCGGCUUGCCAGAACGCGCUCGACGGUGAGGGAUGAAAGCUGGGGGAGCAAACCGG